UCACUCAACGCACACACACACACACACACACACACACGCGCGCUCUCACGCGUUCUCUUCGUGUGUCUUUCUCUCUCCUUCCACUCUAUAAACAAAGCAGUGUCCCCAGGAUGCAAAUGGAAAUUGCAUGCGUGGGUGAUUUAUUGUGUGUGCGUGAUCGUGUGAUGGGAAAGACUAAGCGGAUUUCAUCGAACUGAGCCCUGCAGUUUAAAGCAAUGAAACGAGUAGCUAAUGCAAAGCCUGAAAUGCCUUCAGCCGGGAUCCCCGUCUGUCAUAACUGCGCCAUUGCGCUGAAGAAUAAGGUGGCCACCUAUUGAUAAGCAGGGCUAAUUGAUAAAAAUCGACCUGCUGCGCUUCCAGGACAACUGAAGAAUCUACACCCUAACGACAUCACUUCCGGUUCCAAACCUCAAGACCCCACCUCUUCCUGUCGUCACUUCCGGAUUCCAAAACGCUAUUCACCCAUGACAUCACUUCCUGCAGCCAACUAUAUAUACCACCUCCAGUUCGGUUUUGAACUCUGUCUGUGAAAACAUAAUUUCCGUUUUUUUGCUACGGUAUAGGGCGGUUCCCCCCAAACCUUUGACGGUGUUUGUUUUCUUAUUUUAUACCAGGUAAAGAGGGUUUGUAGUUGUCUCUCUCCAAGCUGUAACCCUGGAGUUUUUGAUGGUGCUAUCAAGGCACAUCAGUGAAUUAAAAACUCUCGAUCUGAAUUUCAGCCUUACAGAUAUUCUAUGGGACAUCCGGGCCACUGAAAAUAGCCCGAGACAUCAUGUGAAGCCACUCCAGGAUUGUUUUGGCUGUAUGCUUCAGGUCGUCGUCAUGCUGAAAGAUGAACCAUCACCCAGUUCUGAGUUUUGUGCACUCUGGAGCAAGUUUUCUUGAAGGACCUCUCUAUAUCUGGGUGCUCUGAUCCUUCCUUCGACUCUGACCAGACUCCCUGUCCCUACCGCUGUGAAGUUUCCUCAUACCAUGAUGCUUCCACCACUAUGCUUCAUCAUAGGGAUGGUGGUAGGAAGGUGGCGAGCAGUAGCUGGUCUUUGCUAUAUAUUGUGCUUAGAGUUCUGCCCAAGGAGUUCAAUUUUUGUCUCAUCAGACCCGAGAUUUGUUUUUCUCUGGGUCUCAAAGUCCUUUAAAUGCCUUUUGGCAAACUCAGGCUGUUGUAUGCCUUUUACUCAAGAGGGGCUUCCAUCUGAUUGAAAUGGUUGUCCAUCCCACUGAGUCUCCCAUCUCAGCAGACAAUUUCUAAAGCCCUGUUACAGUACACCAUUGGGUUUUUCAUCACCUUCCUAACCGACUUCUUUCAUGCCCAGCUAUUCAGUUUGGUCAGACAUUACGAAGAGUCCCGGUGGUUCCACUCAUCUUCCAUUUCACGUUUAUUGAGACCACUGUGUAACUGAAAACACUCAAUGCUUCCAAAAGGUUUCGUACCCUUGCUCUAAUCUAUGCUUCACCAUGAGACCUACAGAGAGCCCUUUGGACUUCAUGGUUUGGUUUUGUCCUGACAUGCAGUGUGAUUUGUUCCUUUCUAAAAUGUUGUUCAGUAAAUUCAGGUUUAUGCCAAAUCAAGUUUUAGACACAUCUGAUGAAGAAUUAAAGCAAUUAGGAUACACCUUGGAGCGCCACGGCCAAGGGGUUGAAUACUUU